rnacentral:lncRNA from 1 species
GAAACUUUCCCGGGAUCUUGUGGUGGUUCUGCCGCCUUUCUUUCCCAGUCAGGCCUCUGAAUCCUGUUCUCAGAUGAAAACAACAAGGAGAAAGCAAACCAUUGAGCCACUUGGAGAGGGGAGUGAUGCUCGUCACUUCAGAUGCAGGAGGUUCGAGGUGGAGGAGAACUUCCCGGAACACCCCGCUCGGAGUUGUACGUCAGGCUCUGGGCAACCAGCGGGCUGAGCCAAGGGAAACCGUGGGAAGAUCGCUGCAGCGGAAAGACCGCACCGCAAGAGCCCGGUGGCUACGAACCCGAGGACUGGGGAGCGGAGGGCUGAAAGGGGCUCGCUGGGUCCCCAUGGACGAUGGCUGGCGUCUUUACUGUGCAUCCUGUCAAAUGCUUCCGCGCGUGGUUUUCAGAUCGUUGUCCAACGCUCCAAAAGUACACCCGCGAUUUCCAUGUGGAGAAACCGACAUUUGGAAAGCGUGAUGUCCCUGGAAUCAGAGAGCUGGUGGAGGCAGAGAAACCCUUGACAGUCUCCAGGUGCAAGGCCCAGUUGUAAUCCAAGAAGAACUGGACGCAGAGCUGCAGGCUCCCUGGCUUUGCUCUGGCCUCACGCUUACCGCAACAGACAUUGCUAAUGCGGUUUUUAGACAUAAUUGGAAAUGAUAUUAGGAAAUAAAUACCAAAAUAUUAACGUGUCCCGGGGACGCGGUACGAUUGUAAUAAAGUAGUCUCCCUUCUUGUGUGUGUGGGAGGGUACGUUUGUGACAGAAAAAUUAGUACAGAUUUCUUUUUCCUCCAAUUGUUUCAGCCCAACCAAUUCCCUUGCUUAAGCCCG